UGUGUUUUUCUCUCUCUCAAUUUAAUGUUUUUUAAAAUAACUGUUUCAUAAUUCUGCUUCAAUGUUAUUUUCCACUGCUCUUCCUAUGCAUGUGAUAUAUAUCUUUGCCAACUUGUUUUUCUGGAAAGGAAAAAGUGGAUUAUAACAUUUAUCAUUUUGUUAAAGUCCAAUAAUAAGAUUAAACAUAGGUCAACCAUGACAUAAUGUGA
rnacentral:lncRNA from 1 species